GAUGAACGCUGGCGGCGUGCCUAAUACAUGCAAGUCGAGCGAACGGACGAGAAGCUUGCUUCUCUGAUGUUAGCGGCGGACGGGUGAGUAACACGUGGAUAACCUACCUAUAAGACUCGGAUAACUUCGGGAAACCGUAGCUAAUACCGGAUAAUAUUUUGAACCGCAUGGUUCAAAAGUGAAAGACGGUCUUGCUGUCACUUAUAGAUGGAUCCGCGCUGCAUUAGCUAGUUGGUAAGGUAACGGCUUACCAAGGCAACGAUGCAUAGCCGACCUGAGAGGGUGAUCGGCCACACUGGAACUGAGACACGGUCCAGACUCCUACGGGAGGCAGCAGUAGGGAAUCUUCCGCAAUGGGCGAAAGCCUGACGGAGCAACGCCGCGUGAGUGAUGAAGGUCUUCGGAUCGUAAAACUCUGUUAUUAGGGAAGAACAUAUGUGUAAGUAACUGUGCACAUCUUGACGGUACCUAAUCAGAAAGCCACGGCUAACUACGUG
rnacentral:rRNA from 1 species